UACGAAGGGUGCAAGCGUUAAUCGGAAUUACUGGGCGUAAAGCGUGCGCAGGCGGCUCUUUAAGUCAGAUGUGAAAGCCCCGGGCUUAACCUGGGAAUUGCGUUUGAAACUGGAGAGCUGGAGUGUGGAAGAGGGGGGUGGAAUUCCAGGUGUAGCAGUGAAAUGCGUAGAGAUCUGGAGGAACACCGAUGGCGAAGGCAGCCGCCUGGGCUAACACUGACGCUCAGGCACGAAAGCGUGGGGAGCAAACAGG
rnacentral:rRNA from 1 species